GGUUCGAUGGCGUAGUUGGUUAUCGCAUCUGUCUAACAUAAAUAGGCUCAGAGCAAAAUGAUUACACAGAAGGUCCCCAGUUCGAGCCUGGGUCGAAUCA